rnacentral:rRNA from 1 species
CACGUAGGGCGCAAGCGUUGUCCGGAAUUAUUGGGCGUAAAGAGCUCGUAGGCGGACUGUCACGUCUGCUGUGAAAAGCUAGGGCUUAACCCUGGCCUUGCAGUGGAUACGGGCAGACUAGAGGUAGGUAGGGGGAGAAUGGAAUUCCUGGUGUAGCGGUGAAAUGCGCAGAUAUCAGGAAGAACACCCGUGGCGAAGGCGGCUCUCUGGGACGGUACUGACGCUGAGACGCGAAAGC